GAGCUUUGAAGUGCACGCAGUUCUGUGAUGAGGUUACUAGGAAAGCCUUUUACUGAUUUAUUUAAAAUUCUCUUUAUUUCUGCUUUAUUCUCUCAUUACAUUUGCUUUGGAAGAGACAUCAGAGGUCAAGAUGGUUUCACCUCUGAGCUAAGAAGUAACCUGCGUGGUGAGCUGUACCUCACACAGAAAAGAGCAGAUCAUCCCAAGGAUGGGCUGUAACUGUGAUGGCCUCAUGCUGAACCUUUACCAGUAUGGGUUUGCAGCCAUUAACCAGCAGGUAGGAGCCAGCCCCUGAUACUUGUGUGGUUCAUCUGCCAGUGCCUGUCAUCUCCCCUGGCUCACAUC
rnacentral:lncRNA from 1 species